rnacentral:sRNA from 1 species
CAGGGAGCUGAACCAGCAUCCCGGACCAGCGGCGACCGUCGUACACCAUGGGCCUCCACCUCCGCCCCUACCGUGUGGGGCUGCUCCCGGAUGGCCUCCUGUUCCUCUUGCUGCUGCUAAUGCUGCUCGCGGACCCAGCGCUCCCGGCCGGACGUCACCCCCCAGUGGUGCUGGUCCCUGGUGAUUUGGGUAACCAACUGGAAGCCAAGCUGGACAAGCCAACAGUGGUGCACUACCUCUGCUCCAAGAAGACUGAAAGCUACUUCACAAUUUGGCUGAACCUGGAACUGCUGCUGCCUGUCAUCAUUGACUGCUGGAUUGACAAUAUCAGGCUGGUUUACAACAAAACAUCCAGGGCCACCCAGUUUCCCGAUGGUGUGGAUGUACGUGUCCCUGGCUUUGGGAAGACCUUCUCACUGGAGUUCCUGGACCCCAGCAAAAGCAGCGUGGGUUCCUAUUUCCACACCAUGGUGGAGAGCCUUGUGGGCUGGGGCUACACACGGGGUGAGGAUGUCCGAGGGGCUCCCUAUGACUGGCGCCGAGCCCCAAGUAAGCAGGCACUCUCAUUCCCU